AACGAACGCUGGCGGCAUGGAUUAGGCAUGCAAGUCGGACGGGAGUAGCAAUACUCCAGUGGCGAAAGGGUGAGGAACACGUGAGCAACGUGCCCCCAAGUUGGGAAUAGCUCCGGGAAACUGGAAUUAAUACCGAAUGUGGCCUCCGCCUGCAUGGGCGGAUGGCUAAAGAUUUAUCGCUUGGGGAUCGGCUCGCGUCCCAUUAGCUUGUUGGCGGGGUAACGGCCCACCAAGGCGACGAUGGGUAGCUGGUCUGAGAGGACGACCAGCCACACUGGGACUGAGACACUGCCCAGACUCCUACGGGAGGCUGCAGUCGAGAAUCUUCCGCAAUGCGCGAAAGCGUGACGGAGCAAUGCCGCGUGCCGGAUGAAGGCCUUCGGGUCGUAAACGGCUGUCACCGGGGACGAAUCCAAUGACGGUACCCGGGGAGGAAGCCACGGCUAACUACGUGCCAGCAGCCGCGGUAAUACGUAGGUGGCGAGCGUUGUUCGGAUUUACUGGGCGUAAAGGGUCCGCAGGGGGCCGGCCAAGUCCGAUGUGAAAUCCCGGAGCUCAACUCCGGAACUGCAUUGGAAACUAGUCGGCUAGAGUCUCGGAGAGGAGAGUGGAAUUCCAGGUGUAGCGGUGGAAUGCGUAGAUAUCUGGAAGAACACCGAAGGCGAAGGCAGCUCUCUGGACGAGUACUGACCCUCAGGGACGAAAGCGUGGGGAGCAAACAGGAUUAGAUACCCUGGUAGUCCACGCUGUAAACGUUGUGUACUUGAUGUGGGGGGACUUGACCCCCCCCGCGUCGGAGCUAACGCGUUAAGUACACCGCCUGGGAACUACGGCCGCAAGGCUAAAACUCAAAGGAAUUGACGGGGACCCGCACAAGCGGUGGAGCAUGUGGCUUAAUUCGAGGCAACGCGAAGAACCUUACCUGGGCUUGAACGCUUGAUGAUAUUGGGAGAAAUCUCAAGUCCCUUCGGGGCGUUGAGCGAGGUGCUGCAUGGUUGUCGUCAGCUCGUGCCGUGAGGUGUCGGGUUAAGUCCCAUAACGAGCGCAACCCCUAUCAUUAGUUGCCAACAGGUUAGGCUGGGGACUCUAAUGAAACUGCCUACGCAAGUAGAGAGGAAGGUGGGGAUGACGUCAAAUCAGCACGGCCCUUACGUCCAGGGCUACACACGUGCUACAAUGGCCGGUACAGAGGGCAGCCACCUGGUGACAGGGAGCGAAUCUCGAAAGCCGGUCUCAGUUCGGAUCGAAGUCUGCAACCCGACUUCGUGAAGCUGGAAUCGCUAGUAAUCGCGCAUCAGCCAUGGCGCGGUGAAUACGUUCCCGGGCCUUGUACACACCGCCCGUCAAGCCAUGGGAGCCGGGGGUACCUGAAGUCGGUAACCGCAAGGAGCCGCCUAGGGUAAACUUGGUGACUGGGGCU
rnacentral:rRNA from 1 species